CGAACGUUAGCGGCGCGCCUAACACAUGCAAGUCGAGCGAGAAGGAAGCAAUUCCUGUAAAGCGGCGCACGGGUGAGUAACACGUAGGUAAUCUACCUCGAAGUGGUGGAUAACCUUCCGAAAGGAGGGCUAAUACAGCAUGAGACCACGGUUUCGAAAGAGAUUGAGGUCAAAGCGGGCCACUAUACAUAAGCUCGCGCUUCGAGAUGAGCCUGCGGCCCAUCAUGGUAGUUGGUAGGGUAAUGGCCUACCAAGCCGAAGACGGGUAGCUGGUCUGAGAGGAUGAUCAGCCACACUGGAACUGAGACACGGUCCAGACUCCUACGGGAGGCAGCAGUGGGGAAUCUUGCGCAAUGGGCGAAAGCCUGACGCAGCGACCCCGCGUGAGUGAUGAAGGCCUUCGGGUUGUAAAGCUCUGU
rnacentral:rRNA from 1 species